ensembl:rRNA 5S_rRNA 5S ribosomal RNA
GUCUAUGGCUAUACCACCCUGAACAUGCCGGAUCUCAUCUGAUCUCAGAAGCUAAGCAGGGUGGGGCCUGGUUAGUACUUGGAUGGAACACUGCCUGGGAAUACCAGGUGCUGUAAGCU